rnacentral:piRNA from 1 species
UGGGUGAUUUGUAGACGAAUAGU